AACCUGCCGUUGUAGAUAUAUUGACGGUUCUAAACGAAAAUGAAUUAUACGCAUUCGAUUAAUCAUCGAUUGAAAUUUGAUAUAUACAUAGAUUAUAAUAUAGAUACAUUAGAAAUUGCGCGUCUUAUAAGACAAUAUUAAUUGAAAUUAUUAAAAUUAUAUCUGGACAAGAUUUUUAUAUACGAAAUAGACAUAAAUACCUAUGUAUACGUAAUAUUU